rnacentral:rRNA from 1 species
AUUGAACGCUGGCGGCAGGCCUAACACAUGCAAGUCGAACGGAUGAAGGGAGCUUGCUCCUGGAUUCAGCGGCGGACGGGUGAGUAAUGCCUAGGAAUCUGCCUGGUAGUGGGGGAUAACGUCCGGAAACGGGCGCUAAUACCGCAUACGUCCUGAGGGAGAAAGUGGGGGAUCUUCGGACCUCACGCUAUCAGAUGAGCCUAGGUCGGAUUAGCUAGUUGGUGGGGUAAAGGCCUACCAAGGCGACGAUCCGUAACUGGUCUGAGAGGAUGAUCAGUCACACUGGAACUGAGACACGGUCCAGACUCCUACGGGAGGCAGCAGUGGGGAAUAUUGGACAAUGGGCGAAAGCCUGAUCCAGCCAUGCCGCGUGUGUGAAGAAGGUCUUCGGAUUGUAAAGCACUUUAAGUUGGGAGGAAGGGCAGUAAGUUAAUACCUUGCUGUUUUGACGUACCAACAGAAUAAGCACCGGCUAACUUCGUG